rnacentral:lncRNA from 1 species
GGGCGCCGGCCUUGGAGUGCAGAGGUGGGGCGAGAGGCGCUGGGAGCUGGAGGCCUGGAAAUCCACGCGGCUUCCCAAAGACGGCGCCUCUGUUCUGCGGGUUCGUGACGAGGAUUUAUUUCCACCCACUGCGCCUGGGCGCAGGUCUGCGGGUCCGCGCCCACUGCGUGCGGCGCCACGGACCAUGUCGGUGACUGAUCAGGCUUUUGUCACACUGGCCACAGAUGACAUCUACUGCCAGGGCGCCCUGGUCCUGGGGCAGUCACUGAGGAGACACAGGCUGACGAGGAAGCUGGUGGUGUUGAUCACUCCUCAGGUGUCCAGCCUGCUCAGGGUCUCACUCGUCGCCCAGGCUUGAGUGCAGUGAUACCAUCUCGGCUCACUGCAACCUCUCCCUCACUGGCCCAAGUGAUCUUCCCUCCUCAGCCUUCUAAGCAGCUGGGACCACAAAUGAAGAACACAGAGUGUGGAGACAUGAAGAGGCUUUGACAGGGUCUCACUCUGUCACCCAGACUGGACAAUCACAGCUCACUGAAGCUUCAACCUUCUGGGCUCAAGUGAUCCUCCUAUCUCAGCCUCCCAAAGAGGUCUUAUUUUAAGGCUGUGAGUUGAACACUGGUUCACUGUGGGAAAAAAACUGAAGAAUGCUAUGAAUUUACACAUUUUAUAGAGACUGCUUAUGGAGCCCCUUGCUAUCCUAACCACCCAGAAGUGUCUCACUCUGUUCCCCAGGCUGGAGGACAGCGGUACAGUCAUAGCUCACUGCAGCCUCAACCUCCGGUACUCAAGUGAUCCUUCUGCCUCAGCCUCCCAAGUUGGACUACAGGAAGUGACACUCUAAGUCAGCGUGUUUCUUCAAUGGACUGAUCAAGUUCAGAGCCCAAGAAUUUGCCCAACGUUUUUAGAUGUCCUCCUCUCUAAAUGAUGAAGGAAGACUUGGAUUCAGAGAAAGAGAAAAAGGAGAUGUGACAAGGAGAGUAGAAGUUGGCAUGGUGGAAGAAGGAAGAAGGCACCACAAGCCAAGGAAUACAGCAACCUCUAGAAGCUGGAAAAAGCAAGAAAAUAGAUUCAUUCGUGGAGCAUCCAGAAGAACCAUUCUUGCAGAGACCCUUAUUUUAGCCCAUUGAAACUUAGUUGAACUUCUGUUCAGGCCACUGAAAUGAUGCCCCUUCCUUGAUAAGGCACAAUACCUACACCAGCAGCCAGAGAUGUUAUGGUUUAAGGUCCUCAGCGGCCUGUGAGUGUCAAUGUUGGUAUUUUUGGCUGUACUUACAUCCAGCAGCUGCAACCCCCAGUCAUAGCAUAAGAUGACAAAAACUGCAAGGUCACAGGCGAAUGUAGCCAGAAAUUUGUGCAGCCUCCAUAGGGCUACAUAAGCAACCCUGAUAUUGCAUAACAGCUCAGAGUUCAUUGUUUCUCAGCCCAUCCUUCUCAGGGUCUCCUAGAUGAUGACUUUGAAGCCUUUGAAGAGUAAGUCAUGCAUGUCCCUUCCCACUGGGUUAGGAACCUGCUGCAAUGUCUACAGGGGGCUUGGGGAGAAAUAAGGACUUCUAUCUAUCAUUGCUACAGUUACACUAGAAAGAGCUCGUCACAUGAGCCAAGCAGGUUUCCUCUCCUCCUGCACUUGGGCCUAUGCCACUGGGUGGAAUGAAAAGAAGCUCAAAGUUGCCUUCUCUUAAUAUCCUCCUCUGACUUAAUGAUUCCCAAGUGGAUGUGGAAGAUGCUGAUAGGACACACACCUUUUGUAUGGAGGGAGGGAAAAAAUUAAGGGAAGGGGAGAGAGAAGAAUGGAGGAAGAGAGAGGGAGACAAGGAAAGGAAGGAAGAGAGAAGAAAGGAGAAAGACAGAGGGAUGAAAGAAGAGAGAGGAAGGAAGGAAGAAGGGAAGGAAGGAAGAAAGGAAGGGAGGGAAGGAGAGAGAAAGGGAAGAAAAGGAAAGGAAAGGAGAAAGGAAAAAAUGAAAGGAGGGAGGAAGAGUGAGGCAGAGUCAGAAAGAGAGAAAAAGAGGAAGAAAGAGAGAGGAAAGGAGAGAAUAAGAAGGGGGGAAAUGGAAAAAUAUAAAAAGGACCAAACAAAGAAAGAGAGAGGGGAGGGAAGGGGAGAAAAAGAAGGAGGAGAAGGAGAGAGAAAGAAAGAAAAAUAGGAAGCAGAGGGGAGAAAGAGAAGUAAGGAAGAGAAAGAGAGGGAAAGACGGUGAGAGAGAA